CCCUUUCUGCCCACCUGCUGCUCUUCCCCAUUCCUCUUCCAGUCUCUUUUUCAGGAUUCAGAGAACAUCUCUGCUACUCAAACCCAUUUGCCCACAUUCCUCCAUCCCAGCAGGGAAAAAAUGCCAGAAUAAAAUCCAUAGCUGCUUAUACUGAACUGGGAUGCAUUAAAAUGUUCAAAACAGUAUCUUCUGCAGAAAUUUAUUUAGUUCAAGGGCUCCACAAAAUCCAGAAGUCUCCUACAGGGUAAGAAACCACACAGAGAGAAUCACAGAAUAUUCUGAGCUGGAAGGGACCCACAAGGAUCAUCAGAUCCCAGGGUGACAGCUUCUACAGCAUCUGGAUAUUGAACAACCUGACUCAAGUCUGGUCCAGUGCACACCUGGAACCUCUUGAUGGGCUUAGUCAUUGGAGAACCUUCACAGACAUUGCCAUGAAUCAGUUGAUCAAUUAAAAGUUACUCAAAACCAGGGAUGUAACACCACCCUAAAGUGCACUCACAGUGAUAAGGAAAGAGGCCUGCAGGUUAAGCAGUCACUGUGCUCAGCAGUUUAGCACAUUUGCACUAAAACCCACACAAAGAUGUCAGAAGCAACUCAAAAACCUGGGACUGGCACGUGUGAGCAGAUCUCCAGCUCACACUGCCCUGAAAUUCCAGCACCUUGGCACUCAACAUUCCCCUUCCCUUCCCUCUGAACAGGAUGGUCACCAUGCUCUCAAGAAAGGGAUGUCAAGGAAAAAGGAAAAUAAAUGGAGUGCACAAAACCGAGUGGGAAUAAACGUCCAGUUGAAGGGGAAGAUGAAUAAAACUCGAAAUGAAA